CCUCCUUUUAAGAGUAAGUAAGUAAGUACACACCCGCACUUCGUGCGGGCGCCCAACACAAGUUGCUUGAGCGCAUUCGGCAGAGCCCUCUGCCAACUGAGCUUUGGGGCUCAGGGCAAAGAGAAUUGGGUCUGUAGCUCAGUUGGUUAGAGCGCACCCCUGAUAAGGGUGAGGUCGGAAGUUCAACUCUUCCCAGACCCACCACUUUCGCGCCUGAAAAUGCCUGUAGGGAAUGAGUACUGCGGCAAGGCCAGACGUGAAAUAAACAGGCGAGGGGCUGUAGCUCAGUUGGGAGAGCACCUGGUUUGCAACCAGGAGGUCACCGGUUCGAGCCCGGUCAGCUCCACCAUCCAGAGACGGGCUCAGAGGUUAUUCUAACGAGUUAUCUCUGAUCCCUUCGUUGGGAUGUUCUUUAACAAUUUGGAUUGAUCCGUCUAUUGAAAUCUUUUGAUCUCAAUUGAUAGGUCG
rnacentral:tRNA from 1 species